GUUCUUGUAGUUGAAUUUUACAACGACGGUUUUUCAGGCCGUAGGUCUUGGGAAGGUCCAAGUAAGAAUU
rnacentral:tRNA from 1 species